rnacentral:lncRNA from 1 species
AGAUGUAAGAAAUGAUACUUCAAGCAAUGAAACAACGAAUUAAAUGUGCCACUUUAAUUACGACUGAUAACCUAAAAAUGAAUCAUGCAUGCAUUUUUAGCAGACUUAACCAGGUCGGCGAUAAGAUAUCGAAAUAUAAAAAAGAAGAUAUCGGGUUUGGUGUCAAUGAGACAACUAUCUACAAGAAACCAAAAUAACACAGAAAUACAAACUAUGGGUCACCGUACGGCCUUCAACAACAGGCAAAGCACGUACCGCAUAGUCGGCUAUAAAAGGCCCCGAAAUGACAAUGUAAAACAAUCAGUCAAAAAAGAAAAUUAACAAAGUCCGUAUCAUCGUAUGCGUAACUUAGUUGCUCACCAGAGGAACGCUACGCAAGCGUUUAAACACGCGUUCCAUAAGUUUGAAGUACGUCGAAAUGCAAAGGUAUAUAUACGCUUGGUGAACGCUUUUACUUCAGGAAAAUUUUAAUGGAACAUAAAAAAUUUCAUUCAGCUCAAGCGUUUGUCAAGCGUAUACCUGUAAACUGCACGCACAUAAUAUACACGCUACACGAGCGUUGAAAACGCUACAGAUAAGUUUUGUUAAGCACAUUGCAUACAAAAAUACUCGUCGCCUUAAAGCUUUCAUUUAGGAGAAGAAGUCCGAUACGGGUGAAACUUCAUCAAACCUACAGAAGAUAUUACACCCUCUCCAACC